rnacentral:piRNA from 1 species
UAGCUUAGUUCUGUUACUCAU